GUGAAGGCAGCAUGGCUUACAUUAAGCUGCUGAUCAAGUGCUUUGCUUGUUUUGAAUUUAGUAUAAUGUUGAAUAUGUGUCAGAACAGCUUACAUUGCUGUUAAGGUUAUCUGCAAAGAGUAGCCCACUAGUGCCUUAUCAAGAAGUGGCUUUUCCUUAAAUUGGUGCAAUUCCGCCAAUUGACAUGCAAAUGAUCUUAUAUGCAAUUAUGAAGUUUCGUAUUUUUGAAAACUAGAGACAAAUUGGAUUAUUUUCUAGUAAGUAUUUUCUGUUGAAGGGGAUUGGUUUCUAGAUUUGGCUGUGUGAGCUAGUUAAACUGUUCAACAACCAUUCUCAUACUCUUCUGUGUUUUAGAUAUUCCUAUUAAUUGGAAUUUCCAUCAUCAGUGGAAAUGAUUCUUCUACAAGAUAUCUUAGUUCUCAAAGAUCUUGUUUCCAACUUUCUGUCUAGUACAUAAUGUGCGGUGCAUCAAUUUGGUUGAUACACUAUUGGCUAUUGAACUUUUUGUAUUGUUCUAUUUCCUUUUUUGGUAUGUCUGAUUUGGCAGUGGUCUUUUUAAUGUUAAAUAAUUUUAACAGCUGGGCAACUGUAAUAUCUUUGUUUAUUUGAAUUUCUUUUCAGAGUACUUCUGGAUGUUUUUAUCUGAUUGUCAUUCACAUGAAGUACACAUCAAGAACUUUUAGAUUUUACUUACAUUUGAGUUUCUGGAUGGUGAUUUGUUUCUAACCUACAUCACCCUGAUCAAAGUUGAAAUGCAUUCCUUGACAAUGACAUCGGUGGUAAGUGGUCGCAUCACCUGAGUUUGAAUGUUGUAUGACUUGUUUGCUCUCAGAGACUAGUUCAUAGGUAAAGGUCACAUGGUGAGUAAUCAUGAUAGGAAAGGCUUCUGUAGGUGAAUGAAUGUACUCAAUCAUAAAAAGGAAGACAGCAUAAAAGAUAUGGUUUUUUAUGUUACCUUCAAUAGAACAGAAUAAUGCAAAAGGGUUCAUAUGUGAGGUUAGGGCUAAGUUAGGUUUGACUAUGAGUUAAGCAUUCACUGUGACUGUGGACUUCAGAUAGCUGCUUUGUCUGUGAUACUUGCUACCACUAAAUAAUAAAAACCCUUUUUUCCUUCUUCUAACUUCUAUCUUCUAUGCCAGACAGUCGCUUGUUCUGUAAAUGGGGUCGUGUAGGGAAUGGCAAAAUUGGAGGAAGCAAACUUCGAAAAGGGAUGUCAAAAUCAGAUGCAGUCAGUGAAUUUAAAUGUUUAUUUCUUUAGAAAACUGGAAAUUCAUGGGAGG
rnacentral:misc_RNA from 1 species